CCUUCCCCUCCUUUCCAUGGCUUCGUGCACCCUUGCCGGCCUUCGGGAUCGUCGGAGAAUCCAUGAAAAGGGUGAAUCCUGUUUUGCUCUGUUUUGGCCGGACCCUUUCCUCUCUUUUCUGGCCACCGACGUCGUCAGUUGCAGCGUCUCACCCCUAGGAUAGGACCCUCAUCCCUCUAUCCCUCUUUCUUGAAGGUCUUGGCCGCCGGUGAUCGGUCAAUGAUCGAAAAAUAAAAAGAAAAGGGACGGAUCCCCUGUUUUUCAAAUCCUUUAAAUCUCUUGUCGGUAGAACCUCAUCGCCGGCCAUCUUUUGCUCUACCGCUGCC
rnacentral:lncRNA from 1 species